UACGUAGGGUGCGAGCGUUAAUCGGAAUUACUGGGCGUAAAGCGUGCGCAGGCGGUUUUGUAAGUCUGUCGUGAAAUCCCCGGGCUUAACCUGGGAAUUGCGAUGGAGACUGCAAGGCUAGAAUCUGGCAGAGGGGGGUAGAAUUCCACGUGUAGCAGUGAAAUGCGUAGAGAUGUGGAGGAACACCGAUGGCGAAGGCAGCCCCCUGGGCUAACACUGACGCUCAUGCACGAAAGCGUGGGGAGCAAACAGG
rnacentral:rRNA from 1 species